GCUCCCUCCGCCGCCUCUCGUCCUCGCGGGACGCGCCCUCCCUCCUCCUCAUCCUCUUCACCACCACCACCUCGCCCUGGGCCUCGUCGACGCCGUCGUCGCUCGCGUCGUUGCUUCCUCUCAUGACCACGCGGUUCCUGCAUAUCUGAGCCUGAGCAUCAGUCAGUCACUCAGUCUGGCCGAAAACAACAGAAUAAAGCCGUAGCGCUGCGUCUCUGACCUGUGGAUUCAAUGGAAAAGGAAAACGGGUGUUUGUUCU